AUGCACUACGGUGCAGAAGUAGUUGAUGCCAAGCUUCCAGGAAAAGCCUCUAAGCAUCAGGUAACACAGAAUCGUACCCCAAACCGACACAGGUGGUCAGGUAGAGAAUACCAAGGCGCUUGAGAGAACUCGGGUGAAGGAACUAGGCAAAAUGGUGCCGUAACUUCGGGAGAAGGCACGCUGGCGCGUAGGUGAAGAGACUUGCUCUCGGAGCUGAAGCCAGUCGCAGAUACCAGCUGGCUGCAACUGUUUAAUAAAAACACAGCACUGUGCAAACACGAAAGUGGACGUAUACGGUGUGACGCCUGCCCGGUGCUGGAAGGUUAAUUGAUGGGGUCAGCCGCAAGGCGAAGCUCUUGAUCGAAGCCCCAGUAAACGGCGGCCGUAACUAUAACGGUCCUAAGGUAGCGAAAUUCCUUGUCGGGUAAGUUCCGACCUGCACGAAUGGCGUAAUGAUGGCCAGGCUGUCUCCACCCGAGACUCAGUGAAAUUGAACUCGCUGUGAAGAUGCAGUGUACCCGCGGCAAGACGGAAAGACCCCGUGAACCUUUACUAUAGCUUGACACUGAACAUUGAGCCUUGAUGUGUAGGAUAGGUGGGAGGCUUUGAAGCGUGGACGCCAGUCUGCGUGGAGCCAACCUUGAAAUACCACCCUUUAAUGU
rnacentral:rRNA from 1 species